CCGAGAAGGGCGCGCAGCCACAGCCACCACAUGCCACUAGCCCCGCAAGGCGCCUGACUCCUCUAAGGGGAACUCGUAAUGCUCACCAAAAGCCUCAGAAACCCUGGAACCUAUAAGACCGCACCACCGCGCAAACGGUGUCCCGGGCUGCGCUCCCGCACUGCACCGGCAGCCUAUGAGGCGAGGCCAACCCGGAGACUGCGCGCGACGGGCGUGCGUGCGUGCGCCCGCAGAUUCGCUUCAGGCGAACCAUAUAUUCAAGACCAAAGAUCAUAUCUCAUAAUGAGGAGCAGCAUAAGAUGGAAGCAGCUGAAUGAAUAAAACUGAGAUGAAAUAA